GGAGAACCGAGCAGAGCUGCCAAUUUGUGCUGGCAUUGAGUUACUUGUGGACAGGAGAAUCACAUCAACGGAUCACGUUCCUGCACAUGCUCACAACAAGGAAGAAGGUACUAUACGUCCUCAACCGCGGCCUCAAAAGCCAGCACAUUCACCAGGGGAGGAAUUCUAUAGCAGAUUUAAAAGGAACGCUGGCCUUGUGGCUUCCGGUGUUGCGAGAAACGUCAACAGAGUGGUGACCUCUGUGAAAGAAAACCUCGAUGACAUGAUGUAUCCUUAUCGCAGGCGCCCAAAAUAGUAGAAAACAUCUUUCUUUGUAUGCGUUAAUCUCCGCUGAGCUUCUGAAAGCUUACUGUUUUGAACAAUCAAGUUAUGAUGUUAAGG
rnacentral:misc_RNA from 1 species